rnacentral:rRNA from 1 species
UACAGAGGUCUCAAGCGUUGUUCGGAUUCAUUGGGCGUAAAGGGUGCGUAGGUGGCGUCGUAAGUGGGGUGUGAAAUCCCGGGGCUUAACCCCGGGACUGCAUUCCAUACUGCGGUGCUUGAGGACUGGAGAGGAGACUGGAAUUUACGGUGUAGCAGUGAAAUGCGUAGAGAUCGUAAGGAAGACCAGUGGCGAAGGCGGGUCUCGUGGACAGUUCCUGACACUGAGCACGAAGGCCAGGGGAGCGAAACGGG